rnacentral:tRNA from 1 species
GCCUAGUUAGCUUCAGUUGGUAGUGCGUCUGCCUUGUAAGCGCUAGGCCGCGGGUUCGAUUCCCGCCCGGGGCG